rnacentral:piRNA from 1 species
UUGGAUCCUCAGCCACUGCUACGGAG